rnacentral:rRNA from 1 species
GACGAACGCUGGCGGCGUGCUUAACACAUGCAAGUCGAGCGGUAAGGCCCUUUCGGGGGUACACGAGCGGCGAACGGGUGAGUAACACGUGGGUGACCUGCCCUCAGCUCUGGGAUAAGCCUGGGAAACCGGGUCUAAUACUGGAUAUGACUCCAUGACGCAUGUUGUGGGGUGGAAAGCCUUGUGCGGCUGAGGAUGGGCCCGCGGCCUAUCAGCUUGUUGGUGGGGUGANGGCCUACCAAGGCGACGAUCAGUAACUGGUCUGAGAGGACGAUCAGUCACACCGGAACUGAGACACGGUCCGGACUCCUACGGGAGGCAGCAGUGGGGAAUAUUGCGCAAUGGGCGAAAGCCUGACGCAGCGACGCCGCGUGGGUGAUGAAGGCC